rnacentral:tRNA from 1 species
GGAGAGGUGGCCGAGUGGCUGAAGGCACUCGCCUGCUAAGCGAGUAUGGGGCGAAAUCUCCAUCAGGGGUUCGAAUCCCCUCCUCUCCG